UGAUGGUUUUUGAAACUUAGUAACUGAGU
rnacentral:piRNA from 1 species